CCUAACCACCGAUAAACGAUGCAUCCCUUUUACAUUCCCUGCUUGCCCGUGUCUGGCAUAGAGAAAGUUAACUGGUCUAGACGGAGAGCUCCAAUCCCUAUCAUUCUCUGGUUGGGGGCUCUAAGUUUGAUGUCUGAGGGCUCUAGUCUUGUUUGAUGGAUUUAUUCUUGCGUGGGAUGUGCAAUGAGAAAGAUUCAGUUUGAAUCAUUUGUUAGAAUCAUUUGUCAUCUUCCAAUCAUUUGUCGUCUCCACUCUCUAUCUCUAUUAUGUGUGAUGAGUAUAAUGCCAGUACGGAGUACACCAGAUGUAUUUGUUCUAGUUCCCCCCAGCCUUAAGGCCCUCCCUGUCCUUGAAUGUCAUCUUACUGUGACUGUCAGAGUCUGGGAAAAGAGGCAAUUAAGUGGUGUGAAAAACACCAGGGGUCGAGGGUUGAAUUGAUUCAAGGUGAUUUUGUGCUGCGAAGCUGGCAUCGUUAGUGUGAAGUGUGCUCAGUUAGUUCCCUGCUGAAUGUUAUGUUGAAGGACAGCUCUUGGAACAACCAUUCUGGGAGAAACCAGAGGUUUCUAGUAAAUAUGGCCAUAAAACUCAAGAUCAUGGGGAGGAAAUCAAUUACGGUACUACAGCAUGAUACCUAAAUAACAGACAAUCUCUUCAUGCAAAGGUGAGAGAGGAAGUAAAGUUCAGUAUGUGAGGUUAUUUUGUUUUGAGGAAUGUAAAAACACCACGAUGAUGGAUGGAUUGUCUAUAGAGGCUUGGGUGUGGUGGUUUGGAUGUCAAGCUGAUGCCAAAUACCAGCCUGUACCCGGUGUGCCAGCCUCCCAGUCAACUCUGAACUCAAGUUGGGCUAUAAGAUUGUUUACAACAACAAAAACGACCCAAGCCUCUAUCGCCUCACGUGUUGUUUUGUAUCAUUAUGACUCAUGGAUUACUGUCAAGCCAUUAAAAUCCAUCCUUAAAAUGCUUGUCAAGAUAAUCUUUGAGAUAAUCUUUCUCUGCUCACAUUUGUCUAACUCUGCGCAACAAGAGAACAGGCUGUGAUCGGGUUGAAAAGUUUGAGUUGAAAGGUUGAGGGUAGACAUUAUGGCGUUAUUAGAGUUAAAGCCAGUUUGCCAGGGAGGAGAUGGGACAGCCUGUUCUUUCGCCAUGAGAUUUACAACCAAUGUGAGCAUUCUAUUGUGUGAUCAAUUUGACUGGGUGAGACAGUGCUACUGUAGUGUUUCACUAUCAGCUCUGACAGUCAGUCUUAGAUUGGCCUGAUACACUAUUGGGUAACACUUUAUUUGAAUAGGCCAUCUGUAGAUGAUCUACAGACUAUUUGCAGACUAUCAGUAACAUUUGAAAUAACUAUCUACUAACCCUAGCCCUAGACCUACCCCUAACCUUAACCCUUAUUCAGGCUGUAUCACAUCCGGCCGUGAUUGGGAGUAGCACAAUUGGCCCAGCGUUGUCCGGGUUUGGCCGUCGUGUAGGCCGUCAUUGUAAAUAAGAAUUUGUUCUUAACUGACUCGCCGAGUUAAAUAAAGGUUCAAUAAAAAAAAUAUAUAUAUAUAUUCUAACCCUAAACUUAACCUUUACCCUGACCCUAGCCCUAACCCUUACCGUAACUGUAACCUUAGCAAGCAGUUGCUUAUCAACAGAUAGUUUGUUGGUAGUAUGAUCAUCUGUAGAGCAUCUACAGAUGGACUAUCUAGACAAUACAAAUAAAGAGUGACACACUACUGUCCUUGGAGAGCCUUGUUGCUGGAGAGAGAGGCCACUGAGGACAUUCCCCUGACAGUCAUUCCCACAAGCACAUACUUACACAGACAACAUUACAGACACCCACAGUAUCACUCUCACACAGCCAGUCCAAAGAAAUAACACACUUUAAGUAACAGUACCUCUUCAGCAAUAUAACAUUUUUUUGUAACUUUAUUUAACUAGGCAAGUCAGUUAAGAACAAAUUCUUAUUUUCAAUAAGAAGGAACAGUGGGUUAACUGCCUGUUCAGGGGCAGAACGACAGAUUUGUAUCUUGUCAGCUCGGGGGCUUGAACUUGGAACCUUCCAGUUACGAGUCCGAUGCUCUAACCACUAGGCUACCCUACCAGAUACACUGGAUUUUGUUUUUAAAUGACGGUCUACCAAAAGGCAAAGGACCUCCUGUGGGGACGGGGGCUGGGAUUCAAAAGAAAUGUAAUUUAAUUAAAUACAUUUUUUGUGAAAUGUGUUGUUUUAUAGGGUCAGCUGUAGUAGUAUGACACCCCUGGAGCAAAUGAGGGUUAAGUGUCUCGCUCAAGGGCACAUCAACAGAUGUGUUACAGGCCCAACACUCUAACCGCUAGGCAACCUUCCGACCUGCCACCCAGUUUACUAUGUAAGAGCAUUCGCUCAUCAGCAUUCCCUAUCAGCUCAGCACAUGGAGAUGCCACAGGGCUUGGGGUGGCAGGAGUGGUUUGAGUAUAUUCAAUCAUCUCCCGUGGGACUGAGACCCAGCAACACAUAUCUUCUGUUUACCCCUGGAGCUGAUUAACACUCUCUCUAUGAACCUCUGGCCUGCCGUACAAUCUCUUGAGGCUUGUUUUAAAUCAUGUAAAACACACACACAUACACUGGACUAGUAACCGGAAGGUUGUGAGUUCAAACCCCCGAGCCGACAAGGUACAAAUCUGUCGUUCUGCCCCUGAACAGGCAGUUAACCCACUGUUCCCAGGCCGUCAUUGAAGAAUAAGAAUGUGUUCUUAACUGACUUGCCUGGUUAAAUAAAAAAAAAAAAAAAAAAAAAAAAAAAGGUAAAAAUUAACUUGUAAGUCGCUCUGGAUAAGAGCGUCUGCUAAAAUGACUUAAAUGUAAAUGUAAAUGUACACAGGCAUUACAAGCACAAACAGACUGCUUGACAGAUAUCCUCGGGUAGUAAUUCUCUCCUCUGUAUCUUGAACACUGACUACAUUACAAGCGCCAAACAUGUUCUAUGCAGAUUGUGGAAUACUGCUACCUACCAACCUGGAAACAGUGACGCAUUGCUUUGCAUUGAACCAAACUGACUGUGCAGGCUUUGUGCUUGACCAGCUAAAAGGAGAAUCCCCCUCAAAAACCAACAAAGCAACCAAAAAUCAUGUCCUCAGAGUAAUCUGUCUCUCUCUUUCUGGCAGGAAGUCACUGACUCACUAAGGGAUUGGUGACAGCCCAUGCCAAAAAGGCGAGCAGUCACCAUACUUACACUUAGAAAUCCCAGAGUUAUUCAGCUGUGGGAGUUUAUCUGUCACACUCUCCUCUCCAGUGCUAAUACGAUCUUUCACCUGCUGUCCAUCCACCUCUCCACCCCUGCUUUCCUCUUCUCUCCUCCUUCCAUCCAUCCUUUCAGCCAUCUGGACGAGCUGGGGGAGAAAGAGAUGGCAUACGUGCAGAGAGAACUGCAGCCCAUGGAGAAGUGAGGCUCACUGCGCUUUCAGGCAUCAGUUGCAGGUAAAUUACUACAGUAAAUUUGGAUGUACUGCAGACCGAAAUAGCCUUCAAAAACACACUCCUGUCAUCCUCAUGGGCCUCUAAUGGAGUUCACUUGCAAUUUGUGAGUAAAGAAUACAGUUUGUUGUGUCUGUAGUAAAGUUGUAGUUCAACUGGUGCUGUGGGAAAGCUUGCCUACAUCAAAGACCAUGCAGCAUAGUAGACAUACUGUACAGCACCAGUCAAAAGUUUGGACACACCUACUCAUUCCAGUGCUUUUCUUUCUUUAUACUAUUUUCUACAUUGUAUAAUAAUAGUGAAGAGAUCCAAACUAUGAAAUAACACAUAUUGAAUCAUGUCGUAACUAAAAAGAAAAAUCAACAAAUCAAAAUAGAUUUAUGAUUUUAGAUUUUUCAAAGUAGCCACCCUUUGCCAUUAUGACAGUUUGCACACUCUUGGCAUUCUCUCAACCAGCAUCACAUGGAAUGCUUUUCCAACAGUCUUGGAGGAGUUCCCACAUACGCUGAGCUACUUUUCCUUCACUCUGCAGUCCAACUCAUCCAAAACCAUCUCAAUUGGGUUGAGGUCAGGUGAUUGUGGAGACCAGGUCAUCUAAUGCAGCACACCAUCACUCUCCUUCUUGGUCAAAUAGCCCUUACACAGCCUGGAGGUGUGUUGGGUCAUUGUCCUAUUGAAAAACAAAUGAUGUUCCCACUAAGCCCAAACCAGAUGGGAUGGCAUGUCGCUGCAGAAUGCUGUGGUAGCCAUGCUGGUUAAGUGUGCCUUGAAUUUGAAAAUAAAUCACAGAACGUGUCACCAGCAACGCACCUCCACAACAUCACACCUCCUCCUCCAUGCUUCACGGUGGGAACUACACAUGCGGAGAUCAUCAGUUCAGCUACUCUGCGUCUGACAAAGAUCUCAAAUUUGGACGUAUUUCUUGGCCCAAGCAAGUCUCCUCUUAUUAUUGGUGUCCUUUAGUAGUGGUUUAUUUGCAGCAAUUCAACCAUGAAAACCUGAUUCACACAGUCUCCAAUUAAAACAGUUUAUGUUGAGGUGUGUCUGUUAUUUGGGCUGCAAUUUCUGAGGUUGGUAACUCUACUGAACUUAUCCUCUGCAGCAGAGGUAACUCUGGGUCUUCCUUUCCUGUGGCGAUCCUCAUGAGAGCCAGUUUCAUCAUAGUGCUUGAUGGUUUUUGCGACUGCACUUGAAAAAACUUUAAGUUCUUCCAUUUUUCUGCAUUGACUGACCUUCAUGUCUUAAAGUAAUGAUGGACGGUCAUUUCUCUUUGCUCAUUUGAGCUGUUCUUACCAUAAUAUGGACUUGUUUUUUUACCAAAUAGAGCUAUCUUCUGUAUACCACCCCUACUUUGUCACAACACAACGGAUUGGCUCAAACGCACUAAGAUGGAAAGAAAUUCCACAAAUGAACUUUUAACAAGGCAUACCUGUUAAAUGAAAUGCAUUCCAGGUGACUACCUCAUGAAGCUGGUUGAGAGAAUGCCAAGAGUGUGCAAAGCUGUCAUCAAGACAAAGGGUGGCUACUUUGAAGAAACUCAAAUAUAAAUAUAAUUGAUGUCUUCACUAUUGAGUGGGUGUGUCCAAACUUUUGACUGGUACUGUAAAUAAGAGGUCAAGCUCUACAGAUAAACUGACACGUUUAACCAUAUCUACAUAUCACUAGUUGCUCCACCAUGUGGAGAAAGAGCAUGAGAGAGACAUAGGCUUGUUAUGGGAACGGGUUCAGGGAAAAGUAUAAGACCUGCUCCCUCUGGUUUCAAUCCAGUAAAUUAGUCAAAUUGGAAUCUGGAACUGAUCUUCCCCAAAUGCAUCUGGCUGGCUAGUCUUUGUGUUUCCAUGGUAAUACCAGCGAAGCUUCCUGGAUGGUAAGCAUCCAUAACCACCCAAUCAGAGUUUAGGCUUAGUGCUAGUGAGGUGCCGUAGGCUCCGGGGCCCGCAUUCACAAAGUGUCUGAGUGGGAGUGAUGCUAAAGGAUCCGUUUUGCCUUUUAAAUCAUAAUGCAUAUGAUUAUACGGGCAGGAGAGACCCUACUCUGAAACACUUUUUAAAUACAGGCCCUGGAUUACUACACAGAGACUUGGUAUGACUAUAGUAGUGGAUACUUUAAACAAGUGUCCAGGAGUCGAGCCAAAAGCAUUUUAGUCCCAGGUGGCAGUGCAUCAGGCUAGCUAGGCAAGCUAAACUCUCAUGGCUAACAUGUGUUUUAUAGUACAGAGUCUACCUAUACAAGACAGUCUACUGGUUUAAACUUUCUGGUAGAAAUUCCUCUUUUCAGAUCCCCAGGCAGCAGCAACCAGUGGUGACCAGGCUGUAUGGAAAGAAAAGGAACAGGUGAGAGACCAAUUAUUCUAUUCUAGUCUUUUCUGAUUUCUCAAUAUUAUUCAUCCAUAUAACCCCACUAAUGGCUACAGUUUGUAAUAAUUAUGAUUCAGCAGCAGUGCCAGGACAGUAAAUCAUUCAAUCUGUCUUCACAUCAAUAAUGGGUCUUUCCUUUGUCAGAUCGUUUAUAUAAUGCAGAGAGAAAUGCAUAGAUAAUCUUUCCCAUUCAUCAAAGCCCUCUCUGUUAUAUGGCCGGUCCAAUUGCACAGCUAAUUGAGGUUGAAGUAGCUUUUCAGAUAUUUGAAGUUGACUAAGUCAGAGAUGGUUUAGCCUCACAGGAUCGUGACGAGGGGCAGGAUGUACUGAAUGGCAAGGAAAGAGCCUUGCCCUAACCUGAGGAACUCGACUCGAGCACACAGGGCAGAGUAUCAAUGUCUCCACUCAAGUUGCCAAUACAGAAACCGUGUCAGUCACCUGAGACCGAUAAGAGGGGGUGGUCUGGCCAGAAACACCCAGCUCUGUUUGGGACAACUCCGAACACCAGUGGAGUGGGACUGUCUGGGAGUCAGAAGGGAGAGAGAGGAAGCUUCGUCAGCAUGCCUGGAGCAGAGGAUAGUGCUCGCCUGCCAGGGCACUGGAGAGAUGUGAGGGAGUGGAGCAUAGAGAAGAGACCGAGCCACAGAAUGUGGGUCCAGGAUGUAGAACAUGUCCUCGGUUCAACGGCUAGGCAACUGUGUGCUUCCCUGGAUAAAUAUCCUCACCACGAGCCUGGGGAUGGCUCAAACCACUUCUCCCCUUCCUUCCAAGACUGGUUUCCCUCCCGUCAUCCAGCCCUUACUUACAGACAGCUGUAGGUCCUCUGCACCCACAGACAGAAGAGCUAAGCCAUGGACCACACUGCUCAGCAGCUAAAAUGGACAAUAGCAGCAUGAAGCCUUCCUCGUUGAUUGAUUUGAAAUGCUUACUGGUGUGAAUCAUCUAGAAACCAUCACAGGUAGCGCUGCCACAGAGGAGGAGUCAAAGAUCUUCAGUUAUAUACCAGAGACACCAAAACGCAUGAAAAUACAUUUCUAACCUUGUCCGACUCUGCAUUGAAAGCAAAGAGGAACAGAGGGGAUGCAACCGUUCCAAAGCAUGAUGUCUACUCCUCUAUGAUAAGUUGCUGUUUGACAUUCUGGAGAGGUGUAAUCAUAUAAAGACACAGAUGUCCUCCAAGAGUUACACUCUAAUAAAGGAUGAUGGAAAGUCAAACAGAGACCAGAGUUUACAGUCUGGCCUUCUGUGGUCCGAGAAGCUAGAGACCAAUUCUUCCCUCACACCACCCUCCCCUCAAUUAAAUAAACAAGCGAUUUGUCUGA